rnacentral:lncRNA from 7 species
CCCCUCUGUGUGUCACUCAUCAUGACCAUCAUUUCGCCCUCAAAGCAGCCGAUCUAAAGCUAACACUAGCUUAGCUUAGUUUACUUUACUUCAGCACAGCAACCCCGGCCCUCCUUGCAUUGGUGGUCAAUUAUUAUUACUGCCCUAAUUUACCGCGUCUGAUCUGCCGCGACCAAUCUUUGCCACGCCCCCAGAUCAUCAUCACUCAGAGAAGUCCAGCAUGGAGGAUCCAGAGGACGACGGAGAUAGUCAUCAUCACGCAGCAGCUAGCAUCUAUCGAAUCGGCGCCAGAACCGGGAGCCUCUCCUAGUCCGCUUCUUCUUGCCUGGGAUGGGAUCCUGAUGAUGCCGUGGGAUGGACAUGGAUGAUCAUGGAUGGAUGGCAUUGGAAGAUCUCUUAGCCACACUAGGCUUUUAUUUAUUAUAUAAACCUUCUCUUUCUAUAUAUAGAGACACAUGCAUCAUCCAUGCUAACAAGACACCCUCGUCAAAAAGGUCAGAACUGCACAUGAUUAAGCCUAAGCUAGGCUAGCGGCAAUGGUCGCUGCUGGCUAGCUAAUCUGUGCUGUACUCACGUAGAGCUAGCUAGCGAGCUUUGUCAAACGCUAGGAUAUACCUGCAUGCUCCUUUUUCUGCAUCGAUCUGUUUUAUACGCAUUGAUA